rnacentral:rRNA from 1 species
AGUGAACGCUGGCGGUAGGCCUAACACAUGCAAGUCGAACGGCAGCACAGUAAGAGCUUGCUCUUACGGGUGGCGAGUGGCGGACGGGUGAGGAAUACAUCGGAAUCUACUUUUUCGUGGGGGAUAACGUAGGGACACUUACGCUAAUACCGCAUACGACCUACGGGUGAAAGCAGGGGAUCUUCGGACCUUGCGCGAUUGAAUGAGCCGAUGUCGGAUUAGCUAGUUGGCGGGGUAAAGGCCCACCAAGGCAACGAUCCGUAGCUGGUCUGAGAGGAUGAUCAGCCACACUGGAACUGAGACACGGUCCAGACUCCUACGGGAGGCAGCAGUGGGGAAUAUUGGACAAUGGGCGCAAGCCUGAUCCAGCCAUACCGCGUGGGUGAAGAAGGCCUUCGGGUUGUAAAGCCCUUUUGUUGGGAAAGAAAAGCAGCAGGUUAAUACCCCGCUGUUCUGACGGUACCCAAAGAAUAAGCACCGGCUAACUUCGUG